AAGAAAAGGCCACCUACAGGUCACCGCAGGAGAGAUGCUGAUGGGAACAAUCAUGGUCAACCUCUCCAGCCUUAUAACGAUGGACCAAAGCAAGCAGGUCUGCUCCAUCCUACAGCUCUGCUCCAUCCUACAGCUCUGCACCGAGGUCUGCUCCAUCCUACAGCUCUGCUCCAUCCAACAGCUCUGCACCGAGGUCUGCUCCAUCCAACAGCUCUGCACCGAGGUCUGCUCCAUCCUACAGCUCUGCACUGAGGUCUGCUCCAUCCUACAGCUCUGCACGGAGGUCUGCUCCAUCAUACAGCUGGUUCCAAGAAGCACUGAGGUUUGCUCCAUCAUACAGCUCUGCACUAAGGUCUGCUCCAUCAUACAGCUGUUCCAUGAAGCACUAAGGUCUGCUCCAUCCUACAGCUCUGCACCGAGGUCCACUCCAUCCUACAGCUCUGCACUGAGGUCCGCUCCAUCCUACAGCUCUGCACCGAGGUCUGCUCCAUCCUACAGCUCUGCUCCAUCCUACAGCUCUGCACUGAGGUCUGCUCCAUCCUACAGCUCUGCACCGAGGUCUGCUCCAUCCUACAGCUCUGCACUGAGGUCUGCUCCAUCCUACAGCUCUGCACGGAGGUCUGCUCCAUCAUACAGCUGGUUCCAAGAAGCACUGAGGUCUGCUCCAUCAUACAGCUGGUUCCAUGAAGCACUAAGGUCUGCUCCAUCAUACAGCUGGUUCCAUGAAGCACUGAGGUCUGCUCCAUCAUGCAGAGGUG